GCGGCGGCUUACAUGCCCACACGUGCUUUAAAAAAAAGUAAAAACAAUAGUUCAGCGAUCUUUGAAAAAAAAUGGACUUGGGAAUCGCAUCUAUAAUUAUACGUCAACGGAUAACUAUUUGUAAGUAGGUACAAAAAAAAGGGCAAAUAACUUAUGAGUCAUGAUUGGUGGCAUUGUAUAAAUGUCUACCAUAGAAAAAAACAUUAAUAAGAUAUGAUAAAUAAGAAUGAAAUAAUGAUUCAUUUUAAUUUAUGAAGCCUACUCUAUCUUUAAGUUUCUUAUUAAACUUAUCAACUGCUUGGUGUUUCAUUUCGACAAACCCAAUAUAACUUACACUAUGCAUAUGUACCACUUAUUUUUAUGACAAACACCAGUUGUGCAAUUAAAAUAUGUUUUUCUUUGAAAGCUAUUCGUAUCGUAGACACUUGCUUUUAAUUAUAUUUAUAAAAAUACUGCUCAAAUAAGAGUACAAUAGGAGCGUGAUUCAAAACAACAAAACAAUAUAAACAAUUGUCUUAGAUAUCAAUUUCUAUAAAUAUAAAUAACAUUUGUAGCACUUACAAUUAGCCCUCCUGAUAAUAUUAUAAUGCAAACAUCUCCUCUACUAAUACAUUUUCGAUUAAAACUUUGUGCGUAAAUUUUGCAAAUAAAUACAUAUAACUUUACAAGCCUAUAAACGAAAUAUGUUUUUAUGGCAUCCCCUUUCAAACAUAUAUGUUUUAUUACUUAAAAGAAAUACGAAAACUUCUCAUUUUUUUAGGCAAUUACAUAGAUACAAUUUUACAGUUUUAUCAUAUUAAAAAACCGGGUCCAAAGGAAUACAAAUCGAAAAAGUUAUAAGCAUUCCAAAACUUCUCAUAUUUUCGUAUGAGAAUAAAAAUAUUCCAUUUCCAAAAUGAAAGUUUAAAGGAAACUUUGCCUGUAAAGUUUUCCCGAAACUUCCGAGAGCUUUUCCAACUUUUAAGAAAGUUUCCACAACUCACGUUUUAUCACUAAGUAAACCCACAUAAUAAGCCCAAACAAGCAGACGCGUUAAACAUACAUGUGAGAAUAUCAUUGAAUAGUCGGUACACAUCAGAUAACGCACAAACAAUACUUGUGUUGUGCUCGUACAAGGUUAUUGUUGUUAUUUUUCCAUUUUAAUAGUGGUACAAGUUGAAACUGGCCAGAAAGUACCUAAUUAAUCUUUUUUUUUCGUGUAUUUAAUACCUUUUUUAGAUUUUCUGUUCAUAUUUUUAUUAUAUUUUAUACGGAAUAUACCAGAUAGUCAAAACAUAACUCACUUAAUUUACUUUUUGUUAAGCUAGUUAUUAAUAUCUUUUAGUAAUACCACUGUAUAUAUCUUAUUUACUUUACUAGUCGAUAUGUUUUAUUGCUAGUCUGAAUAAAAAUAGGUACCUAUCCAUCAUUUAUUUUGUUAAUAACAUAGGUAUUGUUCUUCAGAUACUAAAAUUUCUACGCUAGCUCGCGAACGCGGUCCGUCAGAGCUUAAAUACCUUUCUGAUUUUUCUGACAUUUCUGAUACAUCUUGAUUUGGGUAAUACAUGAUAAGUUAAAAUUACUGAAUCGUCGCUGUUUAUUUAUCACAAAACAUUGUUCUCGCCGAAAAGUUAAGUAACAAUUGUAAAAACUUAUGACAACUUACAAGGCACUUAGUUGCGUAACAAAAAGUACCGUCUAAAUAAAUGUAACAAAAACUUAUAAGAAAACAACUGCCAUAAUGACAUGGCGAAAAAUAUUACAAUACGAACACAAUUAGUUUUUGGCAUGCAAUUAGAGUACCAUGGGUGAAAGUAGGUCGCAUUUACAUUACAAUUAAAGAGUACGAGCGCAAAAAUACCAACAAAAAGUUAAGUGGUGGCUAAAUGGAACUACAUUAGUCUGUCUGUUAUACAUAUUUUAAAACCUCUUAUCUUAAAACUAUGUUUAUAGUACGCUAAGUUAAUUAAACUUCACUACCUGAUAGUGAUAAUAUAUAUUAAAGCAUCACCCACACUGUUAACUGUACAUCGGUGGACCUUAUGCCUUUAGUAAUAAGGUCCUCCGAUGUACACGAGUGUUGCUGUAUACUUACAUGUUUUUAGGUAUAAAAAGCAAUCCUUAACUAAUAAUUACGUAAUAACCUAAGACAGGGACAUUAUAAGUCCCGAAAAUACAUAAAUAGCUGUAAUAAAACAUCUUACAUAUUAAGAAAUUCUAGUUUAAUGAAAUAUAAGGUAAGCUACAUUUACUUAGCUCGACUAUAAAUAAGGAUGUAAAUUUAUUAGGUAAGAAUAACGAUUUGUAAUUAUAUUAACUAUAAGGGCCACCACACACUAGGCUCUUUUGAGCGUCGGCUUCGAGACAGCGCUAUGGAAAAUGGCGUCACUGCGCAGUUGCGUCGAGCAGCAGCCAUAGAGUUGGCUAGACGCCGACGCUCGGGAGACGCUAGUGUGGAGGGGCCCUAGAACCGCUGUCGCUCUCGUCCGUGUAUUAUACAAUUACAUAUUUCAGCACCACGAUCACAAUGCAGGGAUGUGCGCUAUGUGAAGGCCACUGAGCGUGAUAAUUGUUAUAUUCACAUAAUUCGCGACGCAAAAGUCGCUACUUUUCUCACGUUAUUCGACAUUUAAGGUACUCGCUAAUAAUAUGUCAUGUGCCGUUCACGGCCAAAACAAAAUAAUUGGUAGGCCCUCAUAAUGGCGUGUUUUUGGCAUUAUAAGUCAUUUUAAUAUCGUCAUUGUUGGUAGCCAACUAAAUUAUAUUUUUUUCCAAAUAAUGAAACAUGAUAUGACUACUAGUAUAGUAGGUAGUAGUUUAAUGAUAGGUUUGGGCACGGUUUGGUAUUUAAGUGAUUGAAUUGUGGUUUAUGGCGUCUGUCUAGUUUAAUCCUUUAACGGGCUCGACUGAAAAAAAUACUCAAUUCAAGGCUCAUUCCCAUGAUCUAGUUUUAAAUUUUUUAUACAAGAAAAAAUACAAAAAAUAUGUUAUAGAGGUAUAUUGAAAUUGUUGCAAUAUAAAUGGUUAUAAAGGCUUCUACGUCGAGCCAGCGCGGAUGUUUGUGUAGCGUGAUAAUUACAUUUAUGAAAAUAAUGAUAAAUUAUUAUGAUUUAUUUGCUACCGACGAUACCAUAACAAUAAGUCUUUAAAUACAUUGAGGUCUUAGAUUAGAAGCAUGCAAACGUUUAACAUUCAUAAUUCCAGGUGCGCGUAAAAUAAAUUUCAACAAGUUGACAUGUAUAGAGGUACGUACAGGUUUAAAUAAAAUAUGCAACUUUACGACAUUUGUGACAUCCCACGGGUAAAGGUACCUUAUGGCGGUUGGCGCUUACGCUAUUAUUAACGCCGCUUAAAUAUUAUUGCGGCGCUAUGUGACGUAAGCGCCAGCCGCCCUAAGGUACCUUUUCUGUGGAAAGUCACAUUUAGUCAGUUGAUAAUAAUUGAAUUACUUAAAGCUGCAUUUCGUGACUCGAUGACAGUAACUUUAAUUACAUGAAGAUAAGAAAUAAGAAGAUAAGCGGCAAAGUUAAAAUAUCACUUAAUUGCAAUUAAAAAGAUAUUUUGCAGCAAUUUGGAACGAGGCCGAGUGAACGUUUAAAGGUAAGUUAUAUAUACAUUAAGCAGUUUUUAAACUUAAUAUUAUUGCAGCUUGCAUGUUCUAUUUUUGAAGUAAAAUUAAAGACAAAUCUAAAUUAAAUUCUAUAAACACAAAAAUUAAAGCAAAAAUAUACACUCAUGGACAAAUUCAGAGGCAUGCAAAAAAAGCAUUAACUAUUAAUUUUGAAAUUACUUUAGAUGCUGUAAUCCAGUAACUAAACCUUUAUCGCGUUCCUUUAAAUUGGUCCAUGAGAAUAUAUUAAUUACAUAUACAAAUGAAUUAAUGAGCUUAUCCAAUUACGAGAAAUAAUCGAAUUUUUAUUCAAUUUAACGGUGCAAGAAAAGAUAGGAACAAAUUAUUAAAAAAAAUAUCAUAAAAACACUAUAUAACUUUAUUUAAACAUACACUUGCUAAGAAAACAUUCUUAUAUUUUUAGUACCUAAGCAUCUUAUUCUAAUUCUGAUUAUUUAUUUAAAAACAUUCAAUAGGUACACUUUCCACGUCAACUUAUAUUUUAGGCUGAAUCCCAACCAUAUUCUAUAGUUCGUUUUUUUAACAUUAGAAAAAGCAUACGUGAUCUCGACGUGUGUUUUAUUAAUUGAAAAACGCUUUUUAAAAAUAAAUAACUAUUACUUAUAAAAACAAAAGAAUGUAAAUAAUCGUAAAUGAUUAUAAUUGUUACAUAUUUGCCGUGACUUAUUUUUCAAAAGAGUUUUUCAUUAAAAAGACACGUCAAGAUUUUUUACCUUUUUUCUAAUGCUAAUAAAAUUGUAAUCUCUCAAGCAAAUUAAAGAGUCAACAGUACCGAGAAAAUUUAAUGGUUACUUUUGAGAUUAUGAUAUGACUGAGUGUCGCAAAUAAGGAUUUACUGUCACGGUGCGAUGACGAUCUUUUCAAGGAAUUAUCUAAUAGGUAAGUAUCAGUGAGUGGUAGGUAUAUCAAUAUGACUCAAUUUUUCGGGUGGUCUCGUACUGCCUCGGACUGGUUUGUGCAGUAAUUUACAAGAGUUUAGCGAGCGAAAAAGUGUCUCUAUAAUAUACUAAUGGCUCUGUGAGCUGUAGACCUCGCGAGCAUAGCUUUAAAUUGAAUAAAUUUAUGGUUACGCCAUUUUGAAAUACUUCCAAAAACUUAAUCGACAAUAAUGAUAUUUAAUUAUGGAAUCUACUCUCAAAAUUUCAUGAGAAUCGGUUUAGAAUUGCGACCUGGGGGCCGAUUUUUGAAUUACGAUCGAUCGAUUUCAUUACUCGAAAAUCGGUGGAAAACGGCGAAAUGCUAAUUUUUAAAAUGGAGCGAUCGAAAUUUGGAAUCUAUUGGUAUUGACCACUCGAUUUCAAUUCUAUUUGUAGAAUUUAAAUACCUAGUAGUGGAGAUAUUAUUUAACGAAAUACACGAUAUCGAGUUGUCGAAAUUCAAACAUCGGCCCGCUGUAGAGGAAGAAAUCCGGAUAUACGAAAACAUAAGUUUUUACUAUCACUCCCUAUCCUAUCCUAAUCCUACCUACAGAUACAGGCUAUGACUUACAGAAAUACAUACUAUAAAUCUAUAGUAGUGGUAGUGGUGUAGUAGGAACGUGGUAAUCACCACGUUCUGUUAGGAACAUAAAAGAAAUCCCGCAGGAACUUGUCUAACGAUUGAGCAUCCCUGAGAUGAGCUAUAAAUAGCAUCAGCAUGAAUGUUAGAUGCCCUACAGGAAGCACUAGCGGCUGCGGAAGGGACGCGUCUUGAAUGGCAAGUAUUACAGAGGGGCUACCGCGAAACCCGAAAUGCGCAAAUUGCGGGUAUCUUUCUCUUUUACACCAGUUUCCGAGAAAAUACGAUGGUAAAGGAUUAUGCAUACAUAUUAGAUAACAAUGUGCUAUGCCUUGGCCUAUACUAAAUUGUAGGUAGGAAAAAUUACCAAUGCCAAAAGAAGGGGAGAAAAUAAGGUAAAUAACUAUGUAAGUACAAACAUACACCCAGAUAGAUAUCAACUUACAUACCAAUCUAAUUUUUCUCAAGCAGAAAAUAUGUCGAAUAAACUACAAAUUUUAAUAUUAAAGGAAAACUAAAAUUCACCGUUUCAAACAAGACUCAAACUAAUUAAGUUUCCGUAGUAGCUCAGUUGACAAGUUCGCUGUGAAUUUUUUACAUUUUCCUUAAGUAUAAAAGUUUGUAGCCCUAAGACUGGACUGGUGGUCUGGUCGUGGUCGGGUAAUUACAUUGUUAAAAACAUUUUCGACAUAACUCGGCCAAAGAAAAACUACCAAAGUUUCAUUCAUCAUUAAAGAACUAAAGCGCGAAUACGUGCAAAAUGGCGGAUGCUGGUAUCUCGCUUUCGUUAAUAAAAAUCCAGACCAAACCAGAGAAACGGGAAAUUGCGUUAAAAAUAAAGGCCUGGCCUACCGCGAAACACGUUCGACGUGUUGCCUCUCUGUCGCACUUGUAAAUUCGUACCUAAGUGUGACAGGGAGGCAACAACGUGGUUCGCGGUAGACCCUCAGGACAUCGUGACAAUGACAAGACAAAGCUGUCUAUCCAUAGAACAAUUUAUACUCAUUAGGGCAUCUAGUAUAAUUUGAGCUUUAAAAUCAAGGCUAAUAUAGGUUUUUGGAGGUCAGAGAUAUCCUGGUUUGGUCGUGAGACCAGGUGAGGGUCACAAUUGGUAACACGACACUAGAAUGAGUCAGUGGAAGUGAGUAUUUGACGCAAUAAGGGGUUAAAAAUAUAAUCUUUAGAUUACUUAGGGGCUAUUCAUAAAUUACGUCAUUUCAAUUUAGGGGGGGGGGGGGUUGGGCAUCGGAUGACGGUAGCAUGAAGUAGGAGGAAAUGGGGUCAUUUGAAGCAUGAUUUUUGGAUGAUUAUAGGGGGGGGGGGGUCAAAAAUCGAUGACGUAAUUUAUGGACAGCCCCUCAUCAGAGUUCGUUUAGGUUUCGUAGAAAAAAAAAACUGUAAAAUAAAAUACCUAGGGUACCACUUGUAGUUUUGACUCUUAACUUAUGUAGCCUAAGAAGAAUAGGUAUGAGGAAAAAAAUAUACUAGAAAAAUAUACUUAUGUGCCCCAGAGAAUAAGUUUUGUAACUAAAUAAAUCAGCUGGCCAUAUCAAAUCAGCUGGCGACGCUCUCGGUCACACCUUCUGACGUUUAAAUAAAUGAGGUGUCAAUCUAUACUCUGUCAAGCCAGUUCCGUCAGUAGAAAAGAGCGGCACAUUAAAAAAAAUAUAGGCGCGAAGGGUUAUCCUCCCAUAGAAAAUUUUAUUUUCGCGGAUUUUUCUAUACUGAGAAACUUAUUUGACUAUACUUUAUCAUCAGCGUGAGCUAGUCAAGCUAUAUUUCAAAUUCAAAAUAUAUUUAUUUCAAAAAUUAAUAAUACAAGAGAGGUAGUACAGUGUUCCCCACACUAGGCUCAGACUGUGACGUGGGGAUCUUAGCGAAAUGCAGAGUACCGACAUGUCGCGACUAUUAUUUCAUUAUAUCAUAUAGUUCGUAGCUUUGUAAUAGAGCCCGGCGGCUAAUCCUAUUGUCUAUUGUUAAGUAAAACCGCACGUGCUACUUACCUGCAAAAAAACCGGGCAAGUGCGAGUCGGACUCGCGCACGAAGGGUUCCGUACCAUAAUGCAAAAAAAAAAACAAAAAACAAAGCAAAAAAAAAACGGUCACCCAUCCAAGUACUGACCACUCCCGAGUCCCGACGUUGUUUAACUUUGGUCAAAAAUCACGUUUGUUGUAUGGGAGCCCUAUUUAAAUCUUUAUUUUAUUCUGUUUUUAGUAUUUGUUGUUAUAGCGGCAACAGAAAUACAUCAUCUGUGAAAAUUUCAACUGUCUAGCUAUCACGGUUCGUGAGAUACAGCCUGGUGACAGACGGACGGACGGACGGACGGACGGACGGACAGCGAAGUCUUAGUAAUAGGGUCCCGUUUUACCCUUUGGGUACGGAACCCUAAAAAGGGUCAUAUAUAAUUAUUCUAUUUGGCACCUGAGCGCGUACUAGCCCAACGCUCAAACAACCAGUGUAGGUGCGCUCUCCGAAAACGCGUCUUUGUUACGCAUCUCGAUGACACAUUUUAGACUGGUUCUGUAGCGAGUCGCCGGCACUCAGUACCCGAAGUACUGUACUUUUUAUGCAGAGGGUUGUGGCACGUGGCACGAGCGGUUUUACUUAACAAUAGACAAUAGGAUUAGCUCGGGCUCUAUUAGAAACCUACGAACUAUACUUCCAAAAGGCACAAAAUCCGUUUGCAACACUAUUCAUACAUCUAUAUAUAGAAUUGUACCGGUACUAGCUACUUCCUUUGAAACGAACCACUUCAGCUAUACAUAGCCGUACAUUAUUAUACGUUAUUAAAGUCAGUUACAUUCUCAAUGUCAAGUUGUACAUCCGCCUUUUAUACCCGGUAGCAUCUCACGACGUCUGCGAGGCUCAUUCAGAUAGUCAUGCUUUGUUAUCAAACGGUUAUACAAUAUGUAUAUCAGAACGAAAGGCAAAGAAAGAGAGCCAUUAAUGUUUAGGUCAUACUGAGCAACUAUUGCUAUGGGAAAAAAAAUUAACUCUCCCAUAGGAAAUUUCAACAUCAGACCAGCGAAAUCCAAUUCUUUUUCCGCGUUUUCGGGGUUGGUCCCAUAGUAAAAGUUGCUCAGUACAAACCUGUAUUACCUAAACAUUAAUGGGUCUCUUUCUUUGCCUUUCCUUUUGAUACAUGCUGUAUAGUUUGACAGCUGUCAACAUUGACAUUUUUGUACGGAUAUGAUGGUCGUUCUUGUCUACGUGACAGCGUGAUAAAACGGUAUCUGUCACUUUCAACGGCGGAUAUUUUGUCACGUGGAUAAAGUCAUCUAUAAUAGGCCUGCUGGUUGAAGAAAAAACACUGUUGGCAGAGGAAGUUAUCUAUAACCGUUUGGUUACAAGAAAUUAAUAUUUGAAUUGAUCUCUGUAUUUUACAACUACAUAGGUAUCUAUGUAUAUGUUGUGUUCGUGUUUUACAUGUAGGAAGUGGAUCAAUAGAUGUAAUAUAAUAAUUUUAAGUUCGUAAGUACUUUUUGAUGCGCAUAAAGAUAUAAGAUAAGUUCGCCUUUGUACUUCUUACUAAUUGUAUGUUAUUAUUAAUAUGUCUUUUUGUACAAUAAAGAGUUUACUACUACUACUACUACUACUAGAUAUAAGCGACCAUUUUAUGGAUCUUCGUGAGUUUAAGUGUAUUUUUGUUAGUAUUUGUAUUUAUCGUGACGAAAUGUUUGAUAAAAUAAAAGCGCAUAUAAUGUGAUAAGUAUUAAAGAAGAUGUCACAUAUAUAUUCUAGAUCGAGGUUUAGGUACCUAAGUUAAAACUUAAAAAUAGAUAGAAAGUGGAAAUAAACAUGGAAUGCAGUGAAUACAACAUAUAACUUAGUUUAUAUUAUUUAAAACACGAGUAAAAUAUAUUAAGUGUCCAAUAUAUUCUCAUAAUUUUAUUAUGUGUUUAAUAAUACUUCCUGAUACCUCCAUAGAAAUUAAAUUUGUAAAAUCUUGUCUACAGAUAAAUCAAAUA